rnacentral:lncRNA from 1 species
UCUUCACUGGAAAGUACCUCUCGUGGAGAAAGUUCAUCAAGUUGCAGGUUGAGCUGAGGAAGCUGAACUCUACACACUGAUACCUGGAUGUGUGACCCUUGAACUUAGGCAACAUAGACAGGUCAAGAGGGCGGGUGAUGCUUUUUCUGCCUGCUAUGGCAACAGUAUCUGGCAAACAAUAGGCCCUCAGUAAACGGAGGGAAGGGCCAACAAGAUAGCUUUCUGGGUAAAGUUGCUUACAGCAGGACAACCUCAGUUUGAUCCUUAUGGAGAUGAGAACCAAGUCCCACACGUUGUCCUCUGACCUCCACACGUGUGCCGUGACAUGUGUGUCCCACAACUAAGUAAAUAAAUGAAGAGAUGAA